rnacentral:rRNA from 1 species
AUGAACGCUGGCGGCGUGCCUAAUACAUGCAAGUCGAGCGAACGGACGAGAAGCUUGCUUCUCUGAUGUUAGCGGCGGACGGGUGAGUAACACGUGGAUAACCUACCUAUAAGACUGGGAUAACUUCGGGAAACCGGAGUUAAUACCGGAUGAUAUUUUGAACCGCAUGGUUCAAAAGUGAAAGACGGUCUUGCUGUCACUUAUAGAUGGAUCCGCGCUGCAUUAGCUAGUUGGUAAGGUAACGGCUUACCAAGGCAACGAUGCAUAGCCGACCUGAGAGGGUGAUCGGCCACACUGGAACUGAGACACGGUCCAGACUCCUACGGGAGGCAGCAGUAGGGAAUCUUCCGCAAUGGGCGAAAGCCUGACGGAGCAACGCCGCGUGAGUGAUGAAGGUCUUCGGAUCGUAAAACUCUGUUAUUAGGGAAGAACAUAUGUGUAAGUAACUGUGCACAUCUUGACGGUACCUAAUCAGAAAGCCACGGCUAACUACGUG